rnacentral:lncRNA from 1 species
UUGAAAAGUCUUCCUGAGUGUCCCUCAAAAAUGACUUCGGUAAAGUAUGAGCUCUUAAUAUUGCUAUUUAGAGGUGGCGAUUCUCAAUUUUCUAUUUCCCAUUUAAAUAACAUGGGAAAAAAUUUUUUU